rnacentral:lncRNA from 1 species
GAGAUAUCUCCUGGAGGGAGGAUGGGCUGUGGGAAGAUAAAGAUGAUUGCCCCAGCUGGUUUAAAGCUGGCCCAUUAACAGAUAAUGUGUGCCAGGAGAUCAGGGUCACUGCCCCACCUGGUUUAACAGCUGGGGACAGAAUCCACAUUUCUGGCCACAUUCUGUUUCACAACCCAAACAGACAAUGCAGAGGAGUCCUCUUUGCUUUAGUAGAAAAAAGGGAGAGCCAUGGGGAAUUCACCUGGGAUAUCUCGAAUUUUUGGAGGACUCACCUCCCUUUUUAUCCCAAUUUCCCUCUCUCUGUCCCCAUUGGCUGAGGUACUUGAGAGGCACAGACUUCCCAAACACCUGACACCUGAGAUUCCUCUCUAAUCUACAACCCUCCCUUUUCAUUUUUAUAGAAUCCAUAGUUUUUCCCCAUUGCUUCUUUCAUCUUUCAAUAUCCAAUUUCACUCAUCAGCAAACCUGCAGGUUGUUUGUAAAGGCAAACACCUUUUUCCAUCCACCAACCAGUGGAAUCCACCAAUCAGCGGGAUCCAUCCCAUUGUUCCUUUUAUCUCUCAGCGCUGGUUUUAUCUCCCAGCAGACUCACAGCUCGUCUGUAAAGACAAAUCCUUCAUUCCUCUCACGCUGUGACCCAAAUUAUUCAGUAUUGCUACAGACACCCCUUCCAGCCCUUCUGUCCCACCUCCCGCAGGCUCCUCCGUCGCUCCCGGCCAAGAGCGGCUCCCGGGGGUCGCGCAGCCCCUCGGGCGGCGCAGCAGCGCCCGAAGCUCCCCCCUACGCCCAGGUGCACAAAGCAGCCGCUCUCCCCGAGCGCCCCGAGGCCAAAUACCAGCAGCUGAUGUGUUUCCACGUCUACGCCGAGCCCCGCGAGGAGCUCGCCCCCAGCCCGGCAGAGCCCAUCCCCUUCUAUGCCAUGGCUCGGGGUUGGAGCCGCGGCGCUGCCCCCGAGGAGAAUAUCUACUCCGAGGUGGCGCUGAGCCGGCAGGAUCUCCUCCCCACGGCACCCCGAAAUGCCUUCUCCACGCUGUCCCCCCGAGCCCGGCCCCACCGCCGGCUGUUCCGCAGCGUUUCCAGCCAGGACUGCAAGAGGGGGCAGCUCUCGGCAGCUGCCGGCGCGGACAGGAGGGACACAGGAGCUCCCAGCGCUGGCACAGAGGUCACCCAGCAGCCUGCACUGGAGAUGGAUGACCCUGUGUACAGCCAGAGCACACACAGGGAGCAGCAAAGCACGGCCAUGGCUGAGAACGUGUACGAGCAGCUGCCCGGGGACUGUCCCUAA